rnacentral:lncRNA from 1 species
GUGUGCUAGAAAGGGGGAGCUCGCUCUCUUUCUAUGUACUAGAACUGCAGUGAAUUGAAGGCAAUAAGCUAUAAAUAUAUGGUAACAGUAACAUCUAAGCAUAUAGAUUGAUAUAGAUAGCCAUUGUCACCUAUUGCCACCGCGAACACGGCAUGGACACCAAAGAGGUUUUUACACAAGUUCUCAAGCAAUGGAUCAUCAUGUGCACACUUCUAUUCAGGCCUGAGCUCAUGCGUCCCUUGAUUGAUCUGGCCAUUGCUUGUUGUAUAAGUUUGUUUGGUUUUCCUUAGGUUGCUGCUGCAGUGCUGCCUAGAAACCAAGCGUAGACAAUUUUAAACAGGACUUCGAUAACAGAAAUGCUACAAUUAUGAGUUCAAAACCAAUAUUGUGUCUUUAAAGUAGAAUCUCAGUAUAUUAAACAUGCACUACAUGGUUGGCGGUGAAAAAUACAUUAUCCUGACCAAAUUGUUGCAGUUGAUAUACAGUAUGCAAAGAUCAGCAUCUUAACCUGCACUACCUGGUUGUCAACUAUAGGAAUCAUUUAUUGACUUCUUAUUUUACUAAAUUGUUGUGCAUACAAAUAAAAAAAAGUGAAUAGUAAUAACCUGCAAACUCUGCCAAAUUACCAAGUGGGAAGCUCACCCAUGUCGCUAGACUGAGCUACCAUCACUUCUGCAUUCCACUGGAUUUUUUUUAUAAGAAAGAAAAUGUUGUUCAUAUAAUAAAAAAUGAUAACUGGUAUGCAUAUCUGUCGUGCAACAAUAGCAAAACGGUCUGAUAGAGGAAAAUAAUGACUUCAGCUCAUAACUAUUUGUAUUACUAUGUGAGUAAUCUAAUCCAGCUUGCGAAACAUGGAACAACAAACAAAACAAACGGAUAGCCAGGGAUAAGAGUGGUACCUCAUCUAGUUAUCUUCUAGUGUGGAUCCGGUGGUGCCUGGUGCCAAUCUGAUGGCCAGGGCUGAGAUCUACGCGGACAGGUUGAGUGCUGCCAUGGGAGUAGACAACGAAGGUGGAGUAGCCUGGAGUGAGCAUGCAGCAAAGGCAAAAAGAGAUAAAAAUGAAACACAAAGAGGAAGUCAGAGGGUCAGAGAACCAAAGAUGGGGGAGAUGAAGUUGACCGCCACGACCCAUGGAGCUAGCAUGACACCAUGCAGAGCAACGGACGCAUGGAGCAUACUCCAGGAUAAGAGUAGACUCAUAGAGCUAGCAAGAGAGUAGGAGAGAGAAUCUCACCAUCGACACCAAUGCAGCUCCAAGAUUUGGGCGGGGUCCAAGUGUACCGGAGGGAUCUCAGCGAGAUCCUUGCCCAUGGGCCAUGGUUGCGGCAUGGGCAUGGCCGCUGACUUGCCAAGAUCCCGCCCUGCUGCUAGAUCCUCGAAGGCUGCUUAGUACGGAGAUGUCUGUGGUCACCACGGAUACGACCGUGGAGGAGGCGGAGGAGCGACGUUGGAGAGCUGGGAGCACGCGCCGCCAUACGCGAGGGUAGCGGCGCAGGGAUGACGGGCACUUCGAUUACCGUGUCAUCACGAGGCCUUAUCCUAUCGCGACUUCUCUGGUGUGCGACGUUUAGGGAGGAGGGGUGGAUCUGCUGGAGCUAGCACCGGCGGCAGAUUCAGUGUGGCAGGACAUUGCGCCGCCAACAAUGGGAGAAG